GCAGCGAUCGGUAGCUGGUCUGAGAGGAUGAGCAGCCACACUGGGACUGAGACACGGCCCAGACUCCUACGGGAGGCAGCAGUGGGGAAUUUUCCGCAAUGGGCGCAAGCCUGACGGAGCAACGCCGCGUGUGGGAAGAAGGCUCUUGGGCUGUCAACCACUUUUCUCAGGGAAGAAGUCCUGACGGUACCUGAGGAAUCAGCCUCGGCCUAACUCCGUGCCAGCAGCCGCGGUAAUACGGAGGAGGCAAGCGUUAUCCGGAAUUAUUGGGCGUAAAGCGUCCGCAGGGGGCACAUCAAGUCUGCUGUUAAAGGCUGGAGCUUAACUCCGGUAGAGCAGUGGAAACUGGUGUGCUAGAGGGCGACAGGGGUAGAGGGAAUUCCCAGUGUAGCGGUGAAAUGCGUAGAGAUUGGGAAGAACACCGGUGGCGAAAGCGCUCUACUGGGUCGCACCUGACCCUCAGGGACGAAAGCUAAGGUAGCGAAAGGGAUUAGAUACCCCUGUAGCCUUAGCCGUAAACGAUGGAUACUAGGCGUGGUUUGUAUCGACCCAAGCCGUGCCGAAGCUAACGCGUUAAGUAUCCCGCCUGGGGAGUACGCACGCAAGUGUGAAACUCAAAGGAAUUGACGGGGGCCCGCACAAGCGGUGGAGGAUGUGGUUUAAUUCGAUGCAACGCGAAGAACCUUACCAGGGCUUGACAUCCCGCGAAUCCCCAUGAAAGUGGGGAGUGCCUUCGGGAACGCGGAGACAGGUGGUGCAUGGCUGUCGUCAGCUCGUGUCGUGAGAUGUUGGGUUAAGUCCCGCAACGAGCGCAACCCUCGUCCUUAGUUGCCAGCAUUAAGUUGGGCACUCUAGGGAGACUGCCGGUGACAAACCGGAGGAAGGUGAGGAUGACGUCAAGUCAGCAUGCCCCUUAUGCUCUGGGCAACACACGUCCUACAAUGGUCGGGACAAAGGGGAGCGAGCUCGCGAGAGUCAGCGAAUCCCAGCAAACUCGGCCUCAGUUCAGAUGGCAGGCUGCAACUCGCCUGCCUGAAGGAGGAAUCGCUAGUAAUCGCUGGUCAGCAUACAGCGGUGAAUUCGUUCCCGGGCCUUGUACACACCGCCCGUCACACCAUGGAAGCUGGCCAAGCCCGAAGUCGUUACCCUAACCGUUCGCGGAGGGGGC
rnacentral:rRNA from 1 species